CCAAUAGCGUAUAUUAAAGUUGCUGCAGUUAAAAAGCUCGUAGUUGAAUUUCGGGAUCAAUAUGUCGGUCGUGCCUUCGGUACGUACUGGCAUCAUUGGUUUCUCCCUUCUGACAAACCAUGAUGUCAUUAAUUUGGUGUUAUGGGGAGUUAGGACUGUUACUUUGAAAAAAUUAGAGUGUUUAAAGCAGGCUCACGCUUGAAUACAUUAGCAUGGAAUAAUGAAAUAGGACGUUUGAUUCUAUUUUGUUGGUUUCUAGGAUCGACGUAAUGAUUAAUAGGGAUAGUUGGGGGCAUUAGUAUUCAAUUGUCAGAGGUGAAAUUCUUGGAUUUAUUGAAGACUAACUACUGCGAAAGCAUUUGCCAAGGAUGUUUUCAUUAAUCAAGAACGAAAGUUAGGGGAUCGAAGACGAUCAGAUACCGUCGUAGUCUUAACCAUAAACUAUGCCGACUAGGGAUCGGAUGAUGUUAAUUUUUUAAUGACUCAUUCGGCGCCUUACG
rnacentral:rRNA from 1 species